AGAUUGAACGCUUGCGGGAUGCUUUACACAUGCAAGUCGAACGGCAGCGCGGACUUCGGUCUGGCGGCGAGUGGCGAACGGGUGAGUAAUGUAUCGGAACGUGCCUAGUAGCGGGGGAUAACUACGCGAAAGCGUGGCUAAUACCGCAUACGCCCUACGGGGGAAAGGGGGGAUCGCAAGACCUCUCACUAUUAGAGCGGCCGAUAUCAGAUUAGCUAGUUGGUGAGGUAAAGGCUCACCAAGGCCGCGAUCUGUAGCUGGUUUGAGAGGACGACCAGCCACACUGGGACUGAGACACGGCCCAGACUCCUACGGGAGGCAGCAGUGGGGAAUUUGGACAUGGGGGAACCUGAUCCGGCCAUCCCGCGUGUGCGAUGAAGGCCUUGGUUGUAAAGCACUUUGGCAGGAAGAAACGGCACUCUUAAUACGGGUGUCGACGUGACGGUACCUGCGAGAAUAAGCACCGCUAACUACGUGACCGAGCCACGCCGAC
rnacentral:rRNA from 1 species